rnacentral:rRNA from 1 species
CCUACGGGCUGCUGCAGUGGGGAAUAUUGGACAAUGGGCGAAAGCCUGAUCCAGCCAUGCCGCGUGUGUGAAGAAGGCCUUCGGGUUGUAAAGCACUUUCAGUGGGGAAGAAAGCCUUGGGGCUAAUACCCUCGAGGAAGGACAUCACCCACAGAAGAAGCACCGGCUAACUCCGUGCCAGCAGCCGCGGUAAUACGGAGGGUGCGAGCGUUAAUCGGAAUUACUGGGCGUAAAGCGCGCGUAGGCGGUCUGAUAAGCCGGUUGUGAAAGCCCCGGGCUCAACCUGGGAACGGCAUCCGGAACUGUCAGGCUAGAGUGCAGGAGAGGAAGGUAGAAUUCCCGGUGUAGCGGUGAAAUGCGUAGAGAUCGGGAGGAAUACCAGUGGCGAAGGCGGCCUUCUGGACUGACACUGACGCUGAGGUGCGAAAGCGUGGGUAGCAAACAGGAUUAGAUACCCGGGUAGUC